AUCUUAUUGAACGUGUUUUAGAGGGCAUUCAGGAUCCUGCUUACCAAUCCGUUAUUGAUGCUGCAAACAACCGGGAUACUCUUAUUACCUUUGAUGAGCUUCAUGAAAAACUCCUUCUAAAGGAAGUUCAAAUUCGUAACACACCUUCCCCCACUCCACUGCCCAUCACAGCCCACGCCACUAGCACCCGCCCCACUGCCCCCUAUCCACGCAAGCACAACACUACCACUCCCCCAUCACAGUCUACCCGCAAGCACAACUCCCCUACUCCAUCUCCUACUGACAAAGCCACUGGAUAUAAGGGUAAAUGCCAGUGGUGUCACACCCUCGGCCAUUCUCUUUACCGUUGCACAGCUUUUCGCCAACGCUUCCCGAUGCUAGGCCCACUCUACCACCCCAGCAGCCCACGCCUUCCCCCCAAGCCAACCUUACCGUCGCACCUAAUGUCUCUGCCUCCUCACCUUGGUUGCUGGAUACCGGUGCUUCUCACCACGUUACCCAUGAUCUCUCUACUCUCUCCUUGCAUCAUCCAUAUGAUGGCUCUGAAGAAGUAAUUAUAGGAUCGCCUCACGGGGGCACCACUCCUGAAAGGGCCGGCUAAGCAGGGACUCUAUGAGCUACCUCCAUCUUUGGCCAUUCUUGCACUCUCUUCCAUCAAAGCUCCCGCAAUAAAUUGGCAUCACAGAUUGGGCCAUCCCUCUAUUUCAAUUUUCAAACACAUUGUGUCUGAUUUCAAUCUUUCAGUAUCAAGCUCGUUUAAUUUUAAUUGUAACGCUUGCCAGUGUAAUAAAAGUCACAAACUCCCGUUUGC